rnacentral:rRNA from 1 species
AGAGUUUGAUCCUGGCUCAGAUUGAACGCUGGCGGCAUGCCUAACACAUGCAAGUCGAACGGUAACAGGAACUAGCUUGCUAGUUUGCUGACGAGUGGCGGACGGGUGAGUAACACGUAGGAAUCUGCCCUGCAGCGGGGGAUAGCCCGAGGAAACUCGGAUUAAUACCGCAUACGCUCUACGGAGGAAAGAGGGCCUCUUCUUGAAAGCUCUCACUGCAGGAUGAGCCUACGUCCGAUUAGCUAGUUGGUGGGGUAAAGGCCUACCAAGGCGACGAUCGGUAGCUGGUCUGAGAGGAUGAUCAGCCACACCGGGACUGAGACACGGCCCGGACUCCUACGGGAGGCAGCAGUGGGGAAUAUUGGACAAUGGGCGCAAGCCUGAUCCAGCAAUGCCGCGUGUGUGAAGAAGGCCUGCGGGUUGUAAAGCACUUUUAUUGGGGAAGAAACGGCCUAGGCUAAUAACCUAUGGCAAUUGACGGUACCCAAGGAAUAAGCACCGGCUAACUCCGUGCCAGCAGCCGCGGUAAUACGGAGGGUGCAAGCGUUAAUCGGAAUUACUGGGCGUAAAGCGUGCGUAGGCGGCUACUUAAGUCGGAUGUGAAAGCCCCGGGCUUAACCUGGGAAUUGCAUUCGAUACUGGGUAGCUAGAGUUUGGUAGAGGUAAGUGGAAUUCCAGGUGUAGCGGUGAAAUGCGUA